UACGUAGGGUGCGAGCGUUAAUCGGAAUUACUGGGCGUAAAGUGUGCGCAGGCGUCAAAGCAAGUCGAGUGUGAAAGCCCCGGGCUUAACUUGGGAAUUGCGCUCGAAACUACUUUGCUGGAGUGUGGCAGAGGAAGGUGGAAUUCCACGUGUAGCGGUGAAAUGCGUAGAGAUGUGGAGGAACACCAAUGGCGAAGGCAGCCUUCUGGGCCAACACUGACGCUCAUGCACGAAAGCGUGGGGAGCAAACAGG
rnacentral:rRNA from 1 species